rnacentral:rRNA from 1 species
GUAGGUGGCAAGCGUUGUCCGGGAAUUAUUGGGGCGUAAAGCGCGCGCAGGCGGUUCUUUAAGUCUGAUGUGAAAGCCCACGGGCUCAACCGUGGAGGGUCAUUGGAAACUGGAGAACUUGAGUACAGAAGAGGAAAGCGGAAUUCCACGUGUAGCGGUGAUAUGCGUAGAGAUGUGGAGGAACACCAGUGGCGAAGGCGGCUUUCUGGUCUGUAACUGACGCUGAGGCGCGAAAGCGUGGGGAGCAAACAGGAUUAGAUACCCUGGUAGUCCACGCCGUAAACGAUGAGUGCUAAGUGUUAGGGGGUUUCCGCCCCUUAGUGCUGCAGCUAACGCAUUAAGCACUCCGCCUGGGGAGUACGGCCGCAAAGGCUG